AUUGAACGCUGGCGGAAUGCUUUACACAUGCAAGUCGAACGGCAGCACGGACUUCGGUCUGGUGGUGAGUGGCGAACGGGUGAGUAAUGUAUCGGAACGUGCCCAGUCGUGGGGGAUAACGUAGUGAAAAUUACGCUAAUACCGCAUACGAUCUAUGGAUGAAAGCGGGGGAUCGCAAGACCUCGCGCGAUUGGAGCGGCCGAUAUCAGAUUAGGUAGUUGGGGGGGUAAAGGCCCACCAAGCCAACGAUCUGUAGCUGGUCUGAGAGGACGACCAGACACACUGGAACUGAGACACGGUCCAUACUCCUACGGGAGGCAGCAGUGGGGAAUUUUGGACAAUGGGCGAAAGCCUGAUUCAGCCAUUCCGCGUGCAGGAUGAAGGCCCUCGGGUUGUAAACUGCUUUUGUACAGAACGAAAAGGUUUCUACUAAUACUAGGAGCUCAUGACGGUACUGUAAGAAUAAGCACCGGCUAACUACGUGCCAGCCGCCGCGGUAA
rnacentral:rRNA from 1 species